rnacentral:rRNA from 1 species
UAGUGAGUUUGAUCCUGGCUCAGGAUGAACGCUGGCGGUCUGCUUAACACAUGCAAGUCGAACGCAAGUAGAAAUACUUGAGUGGCGGACGGGUGAGUAACGCGUGAGAAUCUGCCUUCUGGUCGGGGACAACCACUGGAAACGGUGGCUAAUACCGGAUAAUGGCGCAAGCCCAAAGAUUUAUCGCCCAAGGAUGAGCCCGCGUAAGAUUAGCUUGUUGGUGAGGUAAAACGCUCACCAAGGCGACGAUCUUUAGCUGGUCUGAGAGGGUGAUCGGCACGACUGGGACUGAGACCACGGCCCAGA